AAAAACUGAAGGCAUCUCUCCCCCUCCUCUUAAGCCCUCGGUAAACCAAUGCCGGUUAAUUUCGUAACCAUGGUUAAGAUUUUUAAUCUUUCUAUAAAACGGUACCUUUCACUUCUUCAUCUCCCGCCAACACUUUAUCAGCACAAUUUCAUUUUCUACUAUUUCAAAAAUUGGAAUCCCAUCUCUGGAAGACAUCUCUCCCCCUCCGCUUCUUCAUUUCCUUUCAAUUACUGAAAAACAUGGUUGUUGCACAGAAGUUGAAGGAAGCAGAGAUCACGGAGCAGGAUUCUCUACUCCUGACGAGGAAUUUACUGCGCAUCGCUAUAUUCAAUAUCAGUUACAUUAGAGGUCUUUUUCCAGAAAAGUAUUUCAACGAUAAGUCAGUUCCUGCUUUAGAGAUGAAGAUCAAGAAGCUUAUGCCGAUGGAUGCAGAGUCUCGGAGAUUGAUUGACUGGAUGGAAAAAGGUGUAUAUGAUGCGCUGCAGCGGAAAUACCUUAAAACGCUUCUCUUCUGCGUAUGCGAGGCGGUGGAAGGGCCAAUGAUUGAGGAAUAUGCUUUUUCUUUCAGCUACUCCAGUUCUGAUAGUCAAGAGGUAUCAAUGAAUGUCACUCGCACUGGAAAUAAGAAACUGGGAGGAACGUUCAAGUGCAACUCCACGGCCGAAAUAACUCCCAACCAGAUGAGGAGUUCUGCCUGUAAGAUGGUCCGCACAUUGGUUCAACUGAUGAGAACAUUGGAUAAGAUGCCCGAUGAGCGCACCAUAUUGAUGAAACUCCUCUACUAUGAUGAUGUUACGCCAGUCGAUUAUGAGCCUCCAUUCUUCAGGAGUUGCACCGAGGAAGAGGGACAUCAUCCCUGGACUAAAAGUCCAUUAAGAAUGGAGGUUGGAAACGUAAACAGCAAGCAUUUUGUUUUAGCUCUCAAAGUAAAGAGCGUGCUUGAUCCAUGUGAGGAUGAAAAUGAUGAUAAUGAUGAGAUUGAAGUUAGCUUAGGAGCUGACUCAGAACAAAGGAACGGGUUUUCUGACACUGACAGUGAGGUUGACCCUUCCCCAGAAGGCGAUUAUAUUGUUGUACCAAGAGAAAAGCUAGAACAACAAGAACAAGAUAAUACUAGCAAAGUUGAUGAAGAUGAUACUCAGGACCCAGAGGAAGAUGAACAGCAGUUAACGAGGGUGAAGGACUGGAUCAAUGGUUACCAAUACGACAAAUUAGAAAUUACUGAUGUUCUUUCAAAUUUUCCGGAUAUUUCGGUUGUUUUAACCGAAGAAAUUAUGGGAAAACUUGUUAACGAAGGUGUUUUAACCAAAACUGGAAGGGAUUCUUACAACAUCGACAGGCAGAAGGCAUUUGACUAUGAAUUCGACUUGGUGAAAGAAGAACAUGAUGGUCAAAUUGACAAAGUUGGUAUCAAUACCACAGCCCACGAUCUCCUGUAUGUGAAGGCUUUAUAUCACACUCUUCAAAUGAGUUAUGUGACGGUUGCAAAACUUCAAAACAAGCUUGAAGGAGAGGCCAGUCUAAGCAAAGUUCGUAAAUUAAUCGAUGAGAUGAUUCGCGAUGGUUUUGUUGAAGCCAAAGGGAGCCGAAGACUGGGCAAACGUGUGAUUCACUCAGAUUUGGCUGAAAAAAAGUUGAAAGAAGUAAAGAAAAUACUGAACUAUGAAGACAUGGAAAUCGAUUCGUAUGGACCAUAUGAAAAGUCCAACAACAAGAUGGAUAUCAACCACAAGGACAUGUCCACUUGCGGUAUCCUCCGUUCAAUUGGAUCAGAUUUAACGCGCAUGAGGGUGACAUCAGACACAAACCAAUAUGGUUCGAAAUCUAAGGACCUUGGAAACACUCCCACAAGCACGCCUGUGCCAGCUGCGUCCAGAGAAAGUUUUGUGCCAGGAAAUGAUAAUAUUAGAGUGAAUGGAAUUGCAAACCACCUUGAUGAGAUGGACUUGGAAAAAUCUACUCAAGAUAAACGAUCUAGAAAGACAAGCACGGUUAAAGAUCCCAUCCUUCAGUACAUAAAGCGACAGAAAUCUCAAGACCAGUGAAAAGCCUGGCUUUAAAUAUCUGACUUGUUCGACCGUAUUCUCUUUAUUCAACCGGUUAUGUUGUGGAAUGUGGAAUACAAUUCCAAGAUUCUUAUUUUGCAACAACCCGACGUUUUCAGGUAGACGAAGAAAUAGACACAGAAUCUAUGAACUUUGAUUUGUUCCGUCUUAGUAAUUGAAUGUUAGUGUUAGAAAAUUUUCAUAUCAUACAGUUUGAACAUUUGACAUUUCAUUAUAAUUCGCUCCCUUUGUUCAUGGCAAUCAAGAAUUUACAACAAAAUCUUUCAACA